UACGAAGGGGGCUAGCGUUGCUCGGAAUCACUGGGCGUAAAGGGUGCGUAGGCGGGUUUUUAAGUCAGAGGUGAAAUCCUGGAGCUCAACUCCAGAACUGCCUUUGAUACUGAAAGUCUUGAGUAUGGGAGAGGUGAGUGGAACUGCGAGUGUAGAGGUGAAAUUCGUAGAUAUUCGCAAGAACACCAGUGGCGAAGGCGGCUCACUGGCCCAUAACUGACGCUGAGACGCGAAAGCCAGGGGAGCAAACGGG
rnacentral:rRNA from 1 species